rnacentral:rRNA from 1 species
AUUGAACGCUGGCGGCAGGCCUAACACAUGCAAGUCGAGCGAGCGGCGGACGGGGGAGUAAUGUAUGGGGACUGCCCGAUAGAGGGGGAUAACUACUGGAAACGGUCGCUAAUACCGCAUACUAUCGGAUAACCCAUAUGGGAUUAGCUAGUAGGUGAGGUAAAGGCUCACCAAGGCAACGAUCCGUAGCUGGUGUGAGAGGACGACCAGCCACACUGGGACUGCGACACGGCCCAGACUCCUACGGAGGCAGCAGUGGGGAAUUUUGGACAAUGGGGGAAACCCUGAUCCAGCCAUCACGCGUGUAUGAUGAAGGCCUUCGGGUUGUAAAGUACUUUUGGCAGAGAAGCGGUAUCUGCAGAAUAAGCACCGGCUAACUACGUGCCAGCAGCCGCGGUAAUUC